UCAACCCUCAGGCCCUGCCUGGCGUUGGAGGACUGCGCACGCAGCCUCCCAAAGCGAGCGGCGGCGGCGCCCCGAGACCGAACGCAGUAGUUACCUCUCGUUCUGGGUCCGGGUCGUUGUCCUGCCGGAAAACCCCCAUCUCAUCAAUGG
rnacentral:tmRNA from 1 species